UACGUAGGGUGCAAACGUUAAUCGGAAUUACUGGGCGUAAAGCGUGCGCAGGCGGCUUUGCAAGACAGAUGUGAAAUCCCCGGGCUCAACCUGGGAACUGCAUUUGUGACUGCAAGGCUAGAGUACGGUAGAGGGGGAUGGAAUGCCGCGUGUAGCAGUGAAAUGCGUAGAUAUGCGGAGGAACACCGAUGGCGAAGGCAAUCCCCUGGACCUGUACUGACGCUCAUGCACGAAAGCGUGGGGAGCAAACAGG
rnacentral:rRNA from 1 species